rnacentral:rRNA from 1 species
UCCGUAGGUGAACCUGCGGAAGGAUCAUUACCGUGGGGGCUUCGGCCCCCUCGAGAUAGAACCCUUGCCUUUUUCGAGUACCUUCGUUUUCCUCGGCAGGCUCGCCUGCCAAUGGGGACCCCAACAAACCCUUUGUAAUGCCUGCAAUCGUCUGACAAAACAAGCAAAAAUCAAAACUUUCAACAACGGAUCUCUUGGUUCUGGCAUCGAUGAAGAACGCAGCGAAAUGCGAUAAGUAAUGUGAAUUGCAGAAUUCAGUGAAUCAUCGAAUCUUUGAACGCAUCUUGCGCUCCUUGGUAUUCCGAGGAGCAUGCCUGUUUGAGUGUCAUUAAAUUCUCAACCUUACUAGCUUUUGCGAAGUAAGGCUUGGAUGUGGGGGUUACCUUUUGCUGGCUUCUAACGAGGUCGGCUCCCCUGAAAUGCAUUAGCGGUGCCCUUGUGGACCCCGACUAUCAGUGUGAUAAUUAUCUACGCUGUUAGGCGCCCACGCUUUAGUGCUGCUUCUAACCGUCCGGUUUCUGGACAACACAAAUGACAUUUUUGACCUCAAAUCAGGUAGGACUACCCGCUGAACUUAAGCAUAUCAAUAAGGCGGGGGGAGGGGAAGGGUCGGACUGGCCCAAGGGGCACACAGGGGGGAUA